AUGCACAUUUGGAACGACAUCCUUUCGUGGCUUGGCUUGCACCAUAUCAUUACAUUGGCUUGGGCGGCGAGAGCCUCGGUCAGAGAAUGGUGGAUCGGUAACCUUCAGAUUCGUCUCGGCUCUCCAAAGGCGCUUGCCUCCCUCACGAUGCUCAUUUCUUGGGAGGUUUGGUCCGAACGCAAUGCUAGAGCCUUUCCCAACUUGGCGGUUCCUUCCAUGGUCAUCAUCAGCAAAGUCAAGCAAGAGGUGUCUUUAUGAGCCUUAGCUGGAGCGAAACAUUUGGGUGUUGUAAUGCCCCGAGAGUAUUCCUUUUAUUUGCCGCUUUGCGGCUUCUGUUUAAAACCUUCUCUCUUAAUCAAUGAAAUGGCAAGUUUUUUGCCUUGUUUAAAAAAAAUCUCUUAA
rnacentral:rRNA from 1 species